rnacentral:rRNA from 1 species
AGUGAACGCUGGCGGUAGGCCUAACACAUGCAAGUCGAACGGCAGCACAGUAAGAGCUUGCUCUUACGGGUGGCGAGUGGCGGACGGGUGAGGAAUACAUCGGAAUCUACUUUUUCGUGGGGGAUAACGUAGGGAAACUUACGCUAAUACCGCAUACGACCUACGGGUUAAAGCAGGGGAUCUUCGGACCUUGCGCGAUUGAAUGAGCCGAUGUCGGAUUAGCUAGUUGGCGGGGUAAAGGCCCACCAAGGCGACGAUCCGUAGCUGGUCUGAGAGGAUGAUCAGCCACACUGGAACUGAGACACGGUCCAGACUCCUACGGGAGGCAGCAGUGGGGAAUAUUGGACAAUGGGCGAAAGCCUGAUCCAGCCAUACCGCGUGAGUGAAGAAGGCCUUCGGGUUGUAAAGCCCUGUUGUUGGGAAAGAAAAGCAGCAGGUUAAUACCCCGCUGUUCUGACGGUACCCAAAGAAUAAGCACCGGCUAACUUCGUG